CUACGGGUGGCAGCAGUGGGGAAUAUUGCACAAUGGAGGAAACUCUGAUGCAGCAACGCCGCGUGGAGGAUGACACUUUUCGGAGCGUAAACUCCUUUUAUAUAGGAAGAAGAUGACGGUACUACAUGAAUAAGCGCCGGCUAACUCCGUGCCAGCAGCCGCGGUAAUACGGAGGGCGCAAGCGUUACUCGGAAUCACUGGGCGUAAAGAGCGUGUAGGCGGAUUAAAAAGUCAGAAGUGAAAUCCUAUAGCUUAACUAUAGAACUGCUUCUGAAACUCUUAAUCUAGAAUAUGGGAGAGGUAGAUGGAAUUUCUGGUGUAGGGGUAAAAUCCGUAGAGAUCAGAAGGAAUACCGAUUGCGAAGGCGAUCUACUAGAACAUUAUUGACGCUGAGACGCGAAAGUGUGGGGAGCAAACAGGAUUAGAUACCCGUGUAGUC
rnacentral:rRNA from 1 species